rnacentral:rRNA from 1 species
CUCGCAAGUCUCUUCGCCAGCAGUACUUACUUGGGGUGAGGGGAUAGGUAAGAGGGGUGAGGUAAGGGGUGUACGGCUUAGGAGGACCGGCCGCUGGACCUCUGGGCUCACUCCGCCUCCGGCUGGCGCCCGUCCAGCGGCGCUACGAGCGGCUGCGCUUCGUGAUCGGCAACAAGAAGCCUAGGCGCGGCGGGCCGAGCUCGACGGCAGCACCCACCUCCGGCACCCGGCGCCGCCGGCGACUCGUCGGAAGUAGAAGGGAAGGGCUCGACCGGCUGGAGUUGCGGUAGCCUUAGGCGGCAGCCGCUCGACUGGCAGGGGCGGCGGUAGUCUCCGGAGGCGGAGCCCGACGAGGUGGGAGAGCUACGCCGACGGUAACGCUCUUCUCAGGGAAAGUCGAGGCCACCACUAGGGGAAACGGCGACACCCUCUCCUCAGAGGAGCCGAGGCCGCCGCUAGGUUGUUCGCCGUUGGUACCGCUUCAACGUCGACGCGCGCUGCGACGAGCGCUGCCGGCCGCUGUAGCGCCGAAGGCAGGAUCUCGAGGGAGAGGCGGCAAAGCGGAAUGUGUUCGCACUGCGCCUCCAAGACCGUACCGAAGGACGUAGUUGUCGACUACCGGUAGGUACCGGGUCACGGGAGGCAGCCCCCUCGACAACCACGAGCGCAUCCGCCGUACGAUCUCCUACUCAACGCCGAGCCUGUUCUAGACCCCUCCAGCCGCCGAAUGAGAAGGUAAAGGGGGGUGCUAGCUCGGUUGUCCUUGACGAUGACGACGAGGACACCUUUUUCCGGCCUGGACCAACCACCCCCGCAAGCCCGACCCCGCAAGAGGAGGGCUUGCUCAGCAUGAGCAAGCUAGCUAAUGGGAGGCUCCUUUCAUAGCAAAAGGGGGGCUUUAGGAGAGACUACCUAGUUAAAGGGGGAGUUGAGAUUAUGGCCUAGUUAGUUGGGGAGUUUAGAGAUUUUGGCCUAGUUAAGGGGGGAUUUCACCAAAACCUGAACUAAAACUCACCAAAACUGGGUCUAGCACGUGAAGAGAGCCAAUACCGGCACGUGAAGCGCAGAAGUCACGCGGGUCGAGCGGAGGCACCGGCCGUACGAGCGGCGAACGGCAGAAGUACCAGAGCUGGUCCGACGGCGUCUUCAUGAGGGUGAGGUACGGAUGUGCCUGCGGCUACGAAGGGCUCUUCGGUAGACUACGGUACGAGGACGAGUUCAGGCUGACGGGUCAGGCCCUUGGCGAGACACACGGAGCGUGGCGUGACUGGCCGCAGGGCGAACCGGUCGCGUCCUCUGCUUGACGUAGUCGUGGCAGCUGCGCGAGUAGGCCGGCGGGCACUAGUGCGAGACGACGCGGUCCGGGCGUAAGAGAAGGAGGGCCGCUCGCCGCUGCCACAAGCUCCGCCGUUGGUGCGUCCGCAGCAAGAGCUACUCGCAGAGGUCGCACAGCCCCGACGACCUCCUACCGCCGUUGCACUAGAGCAGCAGAAGCUCGAGGCAGCAUCCGAGAACACCGCCUCUGCCGAGACCCGGGGCCACGGCUGCCGCAGAGAGCGGCCAGACGUACCGGCGCAAGCGGGGCCGUGGUGACGCGCUGCCGGUGUACCAUGAGCGGCUACAGCUUCCUCGAGGUCAAGUAGGAGAAGAGCAAGGGGCGGAUCGUCGAUCUCCACCUCCUCCUGUUCCUACUCAGUCACCUCCGCAGCGCGCCCCUCCUCCGCCUCGGGACCUCGCGCAUGAGCUGCUACGACUGACCGUGGUGGACUUCGCUCUGCUUUGUUUCCUCUCGUCUCGCCCAUGCGCCAAACCCAGUUUUGGUGAGUUUUAGUUCAAGUUUUGGUGAAAUCCCCCCUUAACCAGGCCAAAAUCUCUAAACUCCCCGACUAACUAGGCCAUAAUCUCAACUCCCCCCUUAACUAGGUAGUCUUUCCUAAAGUCCCCCUUUUGCUAUGAAAGGAGUAAUGGGAGGGCAGGGCUUGCACUGCAAGCCAGAACCCAGGAGGGUCUGGCUUGCCAGCGCGCAAUAGCCCCAGGUUUAUUUUUGUGCCUUUACCCGGCCGGGUCACGCGGCGCCCCCACACGCCCGACUCCAAUCUACUCGACCGGGUAUCACGCACGCGCACUCGCGGUCGCGGCUAAUCCUGGAGGGCAAAAACAAAAACAAAACAAAAGAGUUUUUUUUUCCUGGAGGGCAAAAACAGCGACUAGCUAAGACAAAGCGUCGCACCUGACCGUGUCGCGUACAAGCAAGAGGAACCCGUCAAAGAACCUAGUUACACGGGCUUCACGGGGACCGAGGGCGCGGAGGGGAAGGUUCUACGAAGGAAAAGGGGAAGUUUUCUGCUGCUCACGUGGUGUCCGCGUGUCGGAACGUAGGAGCAGUAGAAGCGGACCUAGGGAGAGAGAGAGAGAGAGCCCUAGCGAGGUGCGGUGGAGGUAAAGGAUCUCGCUCCCUAGGGGGCUCAUCUUAACACUUCGACGUCUAGCUCUUCACUCGGUACCGCUUCUAGUUCGGCUCUCGUGACGACCGUGUCUCGUUCGUCUUCUUCUCGGGAUGAUUUUAGCCGGGUUGUUACAAACGGAAAUAGCAGCAGCCACGGGAUCACCACAGGAGUGAGAUGCGUAUGUUCAUGACCUACUCGUUACCUGGUCGACCUCGUCUUUCACAACGACCCUUGAUUCGGGCUCGUUCACACCUUACUAACUCAAAACAACAACAUACAUAGUAGAACAACCGAUUAAAGGCAACAACAUGAGGUCAUUUACCUUGCAUCUGUCUAAAAAACGGUACAAAUCAAGAAUGGGGGUACCAUGUAACAUAAUUAUAUGAACGAUACAGUGUAAGAAAAGUAAUAACGAUACAGUGUAAGAAAACCACCGCGA